rnacentral:rRNA from 1 species
GAUGAACGCUGGCGGCGUGCCUAAUACAUGCAAGUCGAGCGAACAGACGAGGAGCUUGCUCCUCUGACGUUAGCGGCGGACGGGCGAGUAACACGUGGAUAACCUACCUAUAAGACUGGGAUAACUUCGGGAAACCGGAGCUAAUACCGGAUAAUAUAUUGAACCGCAUGGUUCAAUAGUGAAAGACGGUUUUGCUGUCACUUAUAGAUGGAUCCGCGCCGCAUUAGCUAGUUGGUAAGGUAACGGCUUACCAAGGCAACGAUGCGUAGCCGACCUGAGAGGGUGAUCGGCCCCCCUGGAACUGAGACACGGUCCAGACUCCUACGGGAGGCAGCAGUAGGGAAUCUUCCGCAAUGGGCGAAAGCCUGACGGAGCAACGCCGCGUGAGUGAUGAAGGUCUUCGGAUCGUAAAACUCUGUUAUUAGGGAAGAACAAAUGUGUAAGUAACUAUGCACGUCUUGACGGUACCUAAUCAGAAAGCCACGGCUAACUACGUG